rnacentral:rRNA from 1 species
AUGCACUUUGACGGGUCCAAGAUGCGCACCGGCUUGGGAGCCGGCAUCGUCCUCACCUCUCCCAAAGGCGACAAGCUCAAGUACACACUGCAGAUCCACUUCGCCGCCUCCAACAACGUGGCCGAGUACGAGGCGCUCAUACAUGGGCUCCGGCUAGCCAAAGAGCUCGGCAUACGCCGGAUCCUGUGUUACGGCGGCUCAGACUUGGUGGUCCAGCAGUCGUCUGGCGACUGGGACGCCAAGGACGCGAACAUGGCGAGCUAUCGAUUCCUCGUCCAGCAGAUCAGCGGAUACUUCGAAGGGUGCGAGUUCCUUCACGUGCCAAGGGCCGACAACGACCAAGCAGAUGCCCUAGCACGGAUUGGCUCCACCCGACAAGCCAUACCGAGUGGCGUCUCCCUCCAGCGCCUCCUCAAGCUGUCCAUCAAGCCGUCUCCAGAGUCGGACUCUAUCUUCGUACCGCCUGCGCCAGAUGCAGCCGGAUCCGACUGGAGGAACCCCGCAGGCGGCACGGGGACUUCGACAACUGGCCCGGGGACUGCCGUAGUCGCACCCGGCCCGGGGACUUCAGAACCCGGCCCGGGGACUGCAGCAGUCGGCCCGGGGACUGCAACGACACAAGAAGCGGUGGCCGACUCCAAUUCCACGCCACCCAACCCACCCACCCGAGUCAUGGUGGCUACACUAACAGAAGAAGAAGUCAUAGCUCCAUCAUGGGCCCAGCCCAUCCUCAAAUUCCUAGUCAGCAGAGAGCUGCCGGCUGAUGAGAUCUCAGCAAGACUAGUGCAACGACGAGCCGCAGCAUAUGCAAUAAUCAACAGAGAGCUUGUGAAGCGCAGCGUCACUGGAGUCUUCCAGCGUUGUGUCGAGUCAGAAAAAGGAGUGGCAAUCCUCAAGGAUAUCCACCAAGGCGAAUGCGGCCACCACGCAGCCUCAAGAUCACUUGUGGCCAAGGCUUUCCGCCAUGGUUUCUUUUGGCCGACUGCCUUGGAAGAUGCUAAAGAGAUAGUCAAGAGCUGCAGAGGAUGCCAAGUUUUUAGUUCCAAGCAACACCUGCCGGCUUCUGCACUCAAGACCAUUCCCCUCACCUGGCCUUUUGCCGUCUGGGGACUGGACAUGGUGGGCCCUUUCAAGACAGCCCGCGGCGGCUUGACGCAUCUACUUGUCGCUGUGGACAAGUUCACAAAGUGGAUCGAAGCAAAGCCAUCAAGAAGCUGA